GCAAAGCCCCACCCCGGUGCGCGGGUAUGGCGGCCAGCCUGUGGAUGGGCGACCUGGAACCCUACAUGGAUGAGAACUUCAUCUCCAGAGCCUUUGCCACCAUGGGGGAGACCGUAAUGAGCGUCAAAAUUAUCCGAAACCGCCUCACUGGGAUCCCAGCUGGCUACUGCUUUGUAGAAUUUGCAGAUUUGGCCACAGCUGAGAAGUGUUUGCAUAAAAUUAAUGGGAAACCCCUUCCAGGAGCCACACCUUUACUUAGCUUACAGCUGCACCAGCUGGCACACCUGGGCUCAUAGAACCAUGGAGCUGGCAGUGCCCUUAGCGGUCAUCCGUGCAACCCCCUCAUUUUAUACAGGAGAAAAAGCUGAGGCUUAGAGAGGGGGAGAUGUUUUGGCCAAGGCGAAACGUUUUAAACUGAACUAUGCCACUUACGGGAAACAACCAGAUAACAGCCCUGAGUAUUCCCUCUUUGUGGGGGACCUGACCCCGGACGUGGAUGAUGGCAUGCUGUAUGAAUUCUUCGUCAAAGUCUACCCCUCCUGUCGGGGAGGCAAGGUGGUUUUGGACCAGACAGGCGUGUCUAAGGGUUAUGGUUUUGUGAAAUUCACAGAUGAACUGGAACAGAAGCGAGCCCUGACGGAGUGCCAGGGAGCAGUGGGACUGGGGUCUAAGCCUGUGCGGCUGAGCGUGGCAAUCCCUAAAGCGAGCCGUGUAAAGCCAGUGGAAUAUAGUCAGAUGUACAGUUAUAGCUACAACCAGUAUUAUCAGCAGUACCAGAACUACUAUGCUCAGUGGGGCUAUGACCAGAACACAGGCAGCUACAGCUACAGUUACCCCCAGUAUGGCUAUACCCAGAGCACCAUGCAGACAUAUGAAGAAGUUGGAGAUGAUGCAUUGGAAGACCCCAUGCCACAGCUGGAUGUGACUGAGGCCAACAAGGAGUUCAUGGAACAGAGUGAGGAGCUGUAUGACGCUCUGAUGGACUGUCACUGGCAGCCCCUGGACACAGUGUCUUCAGAGAUCCCUGCCAUGAUGUAGCCAGGCCAAAGGACAAGCCAGGUUGCAUGAUGUGAGGGAGAUGAGAGACUCCUUUUUAAAAAUUGUGAAACCUUUUUGGAAAUAUGAUUUGUAAGAUUUUAAUAAUGACUGUUUUUGGAGAUCAUGAAUGUUUCUACAACACUGCUGCAUUCAUUUGACCAUUUGAGUUUGAAGACCAAGGGAACAACUUUUAAACAAGGUUCAAAUUGGUUUCCUUCACAGGAAUCCUUUGUCCAGGUAGUUAUCCACAUAGGACAGUUUGGGAUUAUCCAAAACUGGGAUGAGCAGCUUGGGAUAAUUCACACACUAAAGCCUGAGUUCAAGGUUUCUCAGUUGACAGGUAGGUAUGUAAAUCAGGGUUCUCUGGAGUAUUUGUAGGACCUGCCAUAUUUGAGUCCUAACUUGGUGCAAGUCUGGCAGCUAGGUAGAAAAGGCACUCUAGCAGGUGUGGUAGGAGCACGCCCCAGAAGGUAGAAUGUGGUGGGGUGUGAUGGAACAGGCCAGUUGGCCUAAGAAUUAGUACUUGCUCUAAUAAUGGGUUUCAUCUAUUUUCAUGAGUUGCAGCAUCUGCAUAUACAAGGCCUGGAUCACUUUAGGAUCAAUAUUUUGACACGGGAGAAGGCAGCUCAGAAAGGAUUAAGGAAGAUAGCUCAAAGCCAAAGCAGACCCUCCGUGUGAACUUUAUACUGCUCACUUCCGUGUUUCCCAAGUAAAUGGGGAAACUGUCCAACCUUGUCAUGUGUUGGGACUUACUGCUUGAGGCAAAGCAUUCAUCCUACAUCAUAAAAAAUCUCCAAAGAUCUCUUUAAGGGCUGGGCAUGGUGGCUCACUUUGGGAGAUGGAUUGCUUGAGCUCGGGAAGAGACCAGUUCGGUCUCUACAAAAAAAUACAAACACAAAUAUACUUUUA